GCGUGCAAGCAGGGCUGGGGCGGGGAUCUCUCAGCUGUGAAGGGACGCUUCACGCUGCCUAUCAGAGCUUGCAUGCAAGCAGGAGGGGGCAGGGAUCUCUCAGUUAGGCAACCGGAAGUCUCCCCUCCCAGCUGAGGGAUCCCCGCCCCCUCCUGCUUGCAUGC
rnacentral:miRNA from 1 species